CUGCAGCCUCCCAGUGCCGAGCUUUUCCACUAUGACAGCACGAAUGCCGUCAACUGGGGGAUGCGAGAGUACAAGAUAUACCCCUACGAACUGCUCCUGGUGAAGACAAGGGGGAGGAACCAGCUGCCCAAAGAUGUGGACAGGACUCGGUUAGAGCGCCACCUCUCCCAGGAGGAGUUCUACCAGAUCUUCGGCAUGACCAUCGCUGAGUUCGACCGCCUGGCCCUGUGGAAGAGGAACGAGCUGAAGAAGCAGGCCCGGCUGUUUUAAAUGCAGUGCACUAUAAAUAUAUACAUACCUAUAAAUAUAUACAUAGAAAGAUCUCUAUAUUGCAGCUCUGUAUGAUUCUCGGUGCUGUACGUGGCAGAGGCACCCUCUGCACCCCUGAGAGUGAAUUGGAGUCUCGCAGAU